rnacentral:snoRNA from 1 species
UGGUCAACGAUGAGAGCUCUCAUUGUCUCAAUGAGAGUGAUGAUGACCUAAAAAUCAUGCUCAAUAGGAUUAUGCUGAGACCC